UAUGCAAUUUUCUUGCUGUGCAGAGUAUAGCUGUUUGCAGCUUAUCUAGGUCAAAAUUUGAAUUCAACUGAUGGACAAGAAGUGCGCGUCUCCUUGCUGAUCAUAUUUAAUGUGUUUUCAAGCUAUAUACACAAAGGAUUACGGCUGGAAUAUCAAUUUCUGCUCAUUCGUCGUAAGGUUCAAUCAAGCAGUGGUGCAGGGAAUUGAUUGUAUAGUCAGCCUUGAUUGCAUCAGAUUCUUCGCCCGUGAAAAUUAUUCAAAGGAGUGCAACAUUUUGCUUUUGCUUUAGAGGAUGGAUUCUCUGAGCUGUUCAUUUCUUUCAUUCGUGGGACUUAACUGUAUGCGUGAUUAAAAUCAAGGGAUCCGCCACUUUAUCGAACUUAGUAGUGUAAGGCAGACGCGUACUUUGAAAGACCUGGAUGUGAUUACUGUGACCCACUUUUCACUAGGAAUAUAAAUUUUAGUCAAGCAGAGAUUUUUGUGAUUCAAUGAUUGAUUCCGAAAUUAUGUUUGUCUUAAAAAUACAUGUAAAAUAAAUUCUCUCACAGUCAUAAUACUGGAUUACAACUUAUAUAAAUAUU